rnacentral:lncRNA from 13 species
GCGGCCCCUAGCUGCACUCCCCGCGCCAGAAGCCGCGGGCGGAGGCCUGCGGCCACCUUAAAAGCCGGAAUUUCACCGCGGAGACGAGCCACGGAGACCACCCAGCCCCUUCAUUGUGCCCUGGGAACUUGGGCCAGAGCGGGGAGGGGACCUGCCUAAAGAAACUCACCACUGUCAUAAACACAGGCUGUGAACUGAACUAAUGGGAUUCCAAUCCCUACUCAGCCACUUACUACCUGGAUGGCCCCUCUAAGUCUCAGGCUUCUGUCUGGAAAAUGGGGGAUAAUAUACCUAUUCCUCAGUGAAGGAGAGGACUGCUCCUUGCCUGUUGCAUACUGGGUCACAUUUGGAUGUCAAGUAAGGCCUUAGAAACCUGCAGCCCAGGAGUUCUGCACUGACCAGCUGGAGAUCCUGAACAAGUCACCUGGUCAUCCUGAGCCCCAGUGAGCCCCGCUGUAAAAUGUGGUUCAUAAGUCCUGCUUUGCCUGUCUCCUGCC